GCGAGCUUGGCGGAAUGGUAGACGCACGAGACUUAAAAUCUCGAGUCCGUUAUAGGGCGUGCGGGUUCGAGUCCCGCAGCUCGCA
rnacentral:tRNA from 1 species